rnacentral:rRNA from 1 species
ACAACACCUAGGAGGAUCCUGAGUACGGCGGAACACGAGAAAUUCCGUCGGAAUCCGCGGGGACCAUCCCGCAAGGCUAAAUACUCCCUAGUGACCGAUAGUGAACCAGUACCGUGAGGGAAAGGUGAAAAGCACCCCGGAAGGGGAGUGAAAUAGAUCCUGAAACCGUGUGCCUACAACAAGUCAAAGCUCGUUAAUGAGUGAUGGCGUGCCUUUUGUAGAAUGAACCGGCGAGUUACGAUUGCAUGCGAGGUUAAGUCGAAGAGACGGAGCCGCAGCGAAAGCGAGUCUGAAUAGGGCGAAUGAGUAUGUAGUCGUAGACCCGAAACCAUGUGAUCUACCCAUGUCCAGGUUGAAGGUGCGGUAAAACGCACUGGAGGACCGAACCCACGUACGUUGAAAAGUGCGGGGAUGAGGUGUGGGUAGCGGAGAAAUUCCAAACGAACUUGGAGAUAGCUGGUUCUCUCCGAAAUAGCUUUAGGGCUAGCCUCGGAAUUGAGAAUGAUGGAGGUAGAGCACUGUUUGGACUAGGGGCCCAUCUCGGGUUACCGAAUUCAGAUAAACUCCGAAUGCCAUUCAUUUAUAUCCGGGAGUCAGACUGCGAGUGAUAAGAUCCGUAGUCGAAAGGGAAACAGCCCAGACCACCAGCUAAGGUCCCAAAAUAUAUGUUAAGUGGAAAAGGAUGUGGGGUUGCACAGACAACUAGGAUGUUGGCUUAGAAGCAGCCACCAUUUAAAGAGUGCGUAAUAGCUCACUAGUCGAGUGACCCUGCGCCGAAAAUGUACCGGGGCUAAACAUAUUACCGAAGCUGUGGACUACACCAUUAGGUGUAGUGGUAGGAGAGCGUUCUAAGGGCGUUGAAGGUCGAUCGUGAGGACGGCUGGAGCGCUUAGAAGUGAGAAUGCCGGUAUGAGUAGCGAAAGACAGGUGAGAAUCCUGUCCACCGUAUGACUAAGGUUUCCUGGGGAAGGCUCGUCCGCCCAGGGUUAGUCGGGACCUAAGCCGAGGCCGAUAGGCGUAGGCGAUGGACAACAGGUUGAUAUUCCUGUACCAGUUGUUUUUGUUUGAGCAAUGGAGGGACGCAGUAGGCUAAGGAAUGCAUGCGAUUGGAAGUGCAUGUCCAAGCAAUGAGUCUUGAGUAGAGUUAAAUGCUUUACUCU